rnacentral:rRNA from 1 species
GAUGAACGCUGGCGGCGUGCCUAAUACAUGCAAGUCGAGCGAACAGACGAGGAGCUUGCUCCUCUGACGUUAGCGGCGGACGGGUGAGUAACACGUGGAUAACCUACCUAUAAGACUGGGAUAACUUCGGAAAACCGGAGCUAAUACCGGAUAAUAUAUUGAACCGCAUGGUUCAAUAGUGAAAGACGGUUUUGCUGUCACUUAUAGAUGGAUCCGCGCCGCAUUAGCUAGUUGGUAAGGUAACGGCUUACCAAGGCAACGAUGCGUAGCCGACCUGAGAGGGUGAUCGGCCACACUGGAACUGAGACACGGUCCAGACUCCUACGGGAGGCAGCAGUAGGGAAUCUUCCGCAAUGGGCGAAAGCCUGACGGAGCAACGCCGCGUGAGUGAUGAAGGUCUUCGGAUCGUAAAACUCUGUUAUUAGGGAAGAACAAAUGUGUAAGUAACUAUGCACGUCUUGACGGUACCUAAUCAGAAAGCCACGGCUAACUACGUG